AGCAGCACAAAAGUCUCUGUAGAGAAACACGCACUGAAAAUACGGAAUACGGCAAACAAAUAAAUUAAGUAGGCGUUAAAAUAGUUCAUAUUUCAUCUGUGGAAAAGUCCAAAUGGCGGCAGGAUGGAGAUGGAGAUGGAGAGCGAACGAACAAUUGGCAAAGUGCUGACAGGCCAUCCCGAAUCCCCAAAGGCCCAAAGGCCCAAAGACCCAGAGGCUCUAUCCUCCACCGGGCACUCUACAGACUCCUCCGCAGACAAUGUAGCCACAAAGUCGAAAACUUGGGACACGCCUCGACGCAUUGGGGCGCAUUCUGAGAAAGUGCAUCUGGGAGCCGCGUCUUGUCUUGAUUAAUUUCGUGCAGACAGCGACAAUGGGCGAAAUGAGGUAGAAGAGAGCGGCCAUCAAUUAGCCAGGACAGACCAACUAAUUGGCCCAAAAGGCCCAAACUUAGCGGAAGCCGAAGCCGAGCCACAACCGACUCGAAUCGAAUCGAACCAGAGUCGAGGCAAACCGAUGAAAGCCAACACCCAAUCGAUGGAUGGCAUCACGUAUCCGUGCAUCCACAGAGUGGAUGGCCCGAAUGAUUUUGCACUUUCGGUUUUUAUUUCACUCCAGGGAGCUUGUUAGCUUGUUAGCCCGGAAAAAACGUGAGAACAGCCCAGGGAAUGCUGCUGGAAGAUGGAAUAGAACUCCGUUAAGAUGUGCUUGAUGUGUGUUUGCAUUUUAGAUUGCAUCCCCGGCCCCCAUGUCCGAUAUCUGGUUGCCCACUCAUCUACUCAUCCACUCACUCGGGAGCGGAGAGCUGCGUUCGGCUGCCUGUACUCUUCGAAUGAAUGCCAACAAUUCGCGUCGACAUCUUGUCUGCAUAAUUGCAACACACAUACUCGGACUCUGGGAAUAGAAAGAAGCCUCAGACCACAGACUGACACUGACGCCAGCAUGUCGGAUCUUCACUGCACCUCUCGCUCCCAUUCCCCAUUUUCCACCUCUGAGUUUAUUCCCAUUUCCAUUCCCGCUCCCAAUCCCUCCUCGGACGUCAAACUCCGCGAAUGGGCGCUGAAACCUUUGGGCAACCAAAUACUUAGGUGGCGUCAACCUACUUCCCCAGACAGUGAAGGUUCUUCAAUGGCAGACCCAAAGGAAGAACAGGAGUACAGGAAUACUUCUCCAGGGAUAAUCAUCAACUUCCUUCAAAAGAAGGUAGAUCGAUAGAUCAAUUAGCAGGGUGAAAGGGCUAAUCCACUUCACCUUAAAAGAGACCAUCUCAUGGUCCGAUCGUUGACUGUUUCCAUUCUAAAAUGCAAGAAAUGCCAGAUAAGAAGCCCUUGAUCAGGGGAUCCACUGUACCCAAUGGUCGGAAAAUAGACGCCACGGCACGGCACGGCAUGGCGUGGCACGGCCCACAAAUUAUUGUCACUAUGCGGGGACGGCAUUGUCACACCUUUGGGGCCGUGGCGCUCGGACUGGCGCUGACGGUGAUUCUGAUUCUGAUUCUGAAUCUGAUUCUGUCGAUGUCGAUGUCGUUGUCGAUGUCGAGGCUGAUGUUGCCACAAGAUUUCGAGGCUGAUGCUGACAGCAUCAACAAUGCAGAAAGGUGCAACCACUUAAUGCCGCUUCGGCGUUUGGCACAUUUUUCCCCGUGCAGCGUGCAGCAGAAUUUCGGGUGCGGAAUCGAGAAUCAAGAGCCGAGAGGUGCGACAAUUUUCGUUGGCAUUUUUGAGGAGUGCCGCGCCUCGCCUCGCCUCGCCUCGGUGGGGCGUUGCCCAGUCUCGUUGGCGUCGCCACGUCGGAAAAUGAAAAUAAAUGAAAAAUCAUUUCA